AAAGACAGAGAAAAUUGAAAUUCCUUUGACUUGAAAUUGAAACCGCAACUUCGAGCAUCGCAAAGCUAUCGGCUUUGAAUAAAAGCUUUUGAAAAUUCCUCGGCCAAUUCGAACAUGCUCGAUUAUAUCGGGUUAAUGGAACUGGAAGUAUCGUUGUUCAGGAUCAACAACAGCAAACCAGAGACCGCGGCAAACACGCCAGCGGACAUCAAACCAAGCGCCGGAAGCUUUUUGGAAGAAAGAAUUGGUCCAUCUUCGAGUUUGAGGUAGCACAGGCCAGGUAGAACGUAAGCUAGAGGUACAGCAGCGAGGAUUCCAUUCAAUUCGAGAACCACACCCAGACAAUCUGUUGACAUCGAUAUCAGGAAAGGAAGAUUCGAAGAUGCUAUGUAUAAGAUCUUAAAUUUCAACCUGUAUAGGUAACAGCUUUUCACAAUUUAUAUAAAUCGUGAAUAAAUAGAAAAUCCAUUAAAGAUUACCAUAAUAAUGAUUCAAUUACACAAUUUAAUCCUUAUAAAUAAUAUCAAAAUAAUAUGAUGACUCUUCAGAGAACAAUGUUUUAAACAUACAACUUUUAUGUUAUGAGAGAAGGGUUUAUUCUAUUACAAUUUAACAAAAUACAUCGUUAAAAAUGAUUUGGGCACAGCAUAUGGAAAAAUUAUCAAGAUAUUAUAUACAAAUAAGAUGUAAGUAAUGUAAAAUAAAUAUAAAAUUAUUUAAAAAAGCUCUAAAUAACAAUCAACAUACUUAAAAACAUUUUUCCACCUGAAAAGAAGUUCUUUCUAUGAACAAACUUGUGUAAUCACCAAUUAUCAAUCAGAUAAAAUGAAAAUUUUUUAAAUUAAAUGUUUAAUGAUAAAGUUUUUAAAGA